UCCAGAAGGCACAUCUAAAUAUUUCACACCCUGUCUGUGAAUUGCGGCUCUGAACUAAUUUGUCUGUUAAUUAGCUAAACCUCCUACACCAGUUCUCUGUAAUUGUGACCAACUGCUAUAAUUCACUUCCCAGCACAGCGUAUUAUUAUGAUGUCUCAUGGUUAGAGAGAACUCAUCUCUUGCGUGACAGAUCGCUUUAAGCUGAACAGUGCUGAGAUUGAAUGUCAACACAUCUUGUUUAUUGCUGGUGCCUGAUGAUCACUCUGACAGUGCCGAAUAUUUGGACAAUAGGAAGCAUCCACCUAAAGUCUGACAGUUGGGGCUAUGGGAACUGUUGGAGGUGCAGACAGACCUGUGGCAGAUCCCAGUGAUACAAGCUGUGGAAACAAAGGAGAAUAUGACAACAUUGCCAUUGCACAAGAGGACUGAUAAUGAAAUACAGGGUCUCAGGCUCCCCAAACAAACUCAGAGCAAACAGUCCCACUCAUGCAAAUGACACAUGCCACCGGGAACCAUCUCGCACCACAAGCCUGAGAAUGCA